UACGAGUGCCCCAAGCAUUAUCCGGAAUCACUGGGCGUAAAGCGCAUGUAGGUGGUCUUAUUAGUCUUUUGUUAAACCUCCCGGCUCAACCGGGAAUCUGCAAAAGAAACGGUAAGACUAGAGGACGCGAGAGGUUUGCGGAACUCAUGGUGUAGGGGUGAAAUCCGUUGAUAUCAUGGGGAACACCAAAAGCGAAGGCAGCAAACUGGCGCGUUCCUGACACUGAGUAUGCGAAAGCGUGGGUAGCGAAUGGG
rnacentral:misc_RNA from 1 species